UCCAACCUCGACGCGAGCUUUCUCAUGACAUGGAAAAAGUCUUCCACACUCUCGUUUGACCGCUGCAUUCUUUCUCGCAGUUCUCUCAUGCGGUCGAACUCGGACGCCGUGCCUCGGAAACGAGCAAUUAAGUCGCCCCUUAGUACCUUCCAAACACCACCGCCAUGAUCACGGAUGUACUGCCAGUACCAUUCCCGCGCGUUUCCUGUAACCAGUUCUUCUUCUUCUUACAAGAUUCAUUAAGAGGGGGACACGUGACUAGCCGGGACCAGUAACCGCUCCAGUUUCUGCGCUACACUUGACAGUCGCCCUACGGAUAUCCUACAAUUACGACCCCCACCUUUGUGUGGCCUGUCAUCUACUCUAGUCAUCGCUCUAAGCGAUGGCC